UUAGGGUGAAAGAUCAGAGAAGCAGAGCAGCAGCCACUAGAAACUUCUUACCUCUAAGAAAUCUCUGACCAAAUGGAGUGAGAUCCUGUCUCUAUGAAUCUUCAUACUGAAUGGGGGCAGAUCCUGUCUUUGAAUCCUCUGACUAAAUGGGGCCCUGAGAUCCUGUCUCCACCUGCCUUAUAUUCCUGUCUCCACUUCCCUAGUGCUGGGAUUAAAGGAGUGAGCCUCUCAUGUGCUGGGAUCAAAGGCUUGAGCCUUCCAUGUGCUGGGAUCAAAGGCAGGCACCACCACCAAGGCUUUUUUUCUUUUUUAGACUCAUUCAAUCUCCUGUAGCCCAGGGUGGCCUUGAACCCCUGGUCUUCCUGCUUCCUCCUCCUAAGAGCUGGGAUUAAAGGUGUGUGCCACUACUGCCUGGCCUCUAUGGUUAACUAGUGGCUAGCUCUGCCCUCUGAUCUCCAGGCAAGCUUUAUUUGUCAGAACACAAACAAAAUAUCACACAACAAUAAAGUUCCAUCCAAAUGGAGCGUUUUCAGGAUUCAAGUCCUGUGCAACGUAUUAAUGACAUAUAUUUUCUGAGACCCAGCUGAAUAUGUUUUUUUUUUUUAAAUUAUAAACUAGCUGUCAUGGCAGCACACCCCUGGAGGAGUGCUGUCCUGAGUUACACUCCAGGGACUUUGGGAUAACAGCAGUGGUGGGUCCCUCUGUCAACUGCAGAAGCAUUCAUCUCAGAAUGAUUAUUUCUAAGCCCCAUAAAAACAAGCCACCAAGAGAGAAGUCCAUCUGCCAAGCCCUAAGAAUCCAUUGCAGGAAAAGAGAGAGAGAGUGGAAAGGGCAGGGAAAGCGUGCACUCGUUCCUCAGGAGAUGUCCUAGGGAUGUUACAACAGGCUUGGGUUCUCAGCGGAUUGGAAAUCCAAGUGUGCUUUAAAAACCCCAGGCAUCCAGGAAGGAAGUAGCCCACAAUAGCUCUCAGAUCAUUAGUGACGCAGCCACAGUGAAUGCUCAGGCAAAUUAGCUGCACCUUCAGUUUAACGCAUUCCUGGAAGCUACCGUGAGAAGCACUCUUAGGAGUGUUCUUUAACGGCGUGUUAUACAAAGACAAUUCUCGCUACAGUCCUUUUGACGACAUGGUUAUCUGAGGCAGAGGGCGGAGACUAUCUUCGGAGCCCCUCACAUCUGACAUCCUCAUGUAUUCUGCAUGCAAUGAAUAGGUUUGUAGCAAAUCGAUCCUCAAUUGGCCUAGGAGGAAUGAUACAAGUGGAGACGAUUAUUCCAGAGAACAGAAGGUUCUGGAAUGCCGGGCAAUCUCAGCCUCUACAGUACUGCUUUUGCAGCCCUAGGAAUAUUUUGCUUGGAAGCAUGAAGAUGGAAUUAUUUUCUCAUUCCCUAGAAAGCCUCAGGCAAUUUUUGGAGGACUCAUAAAUAUGACAAAGAAGACUGUUCAGAGACAGAGAGCACCAGAAGCCUACGGACUUCACAGUCUUUGCGGACAGCACAGCUGGGAGCCUUCUCCUUAUGGCCACCAGGCUUUAAGUGAAUUUUGAAGAUGGGAGGGCUUCGCAAGACUUCAUUUCAAACAAUCACAAUAAAGGCGAAUCCUUGUUCUUCCCUUUUGAUUAUCCUAGAACAAACAUCUGCAAACAAAAUGGCAGCAGAAAUCAAACUGGAUCAUUACUCAGAGAAAACAAGCCAUGAACUUGUCUUCUGAGCGUCCCAAGCUUCCAUUAAGACUCCCUUAGAUAUGCAGACGCAUUAAGAAAACAUGAGUCAGAAAGCUCGGUGUGCACCAAACUGGUAGGUUCAGACAUAAUAACCUUCUACUCAGAAACAGGGUGCUUUCUCCCAAACCUCUUUGUCUGUGGACUCCCCUUCCUCUUCGCAUCCCACCUUUUGUCCUUGUAUGGGGAUGUUUCAGAGACAGCAUUUGGUAGUGGGGAUGAAGCCCGAUCAAAUUUAUUUUUCAAAUAUAAAUAACAUUUAAUUUGCCACAAAUGUCUCGAGAUGAAGCCUGUCUACCUUACUAGCUAACAAACUUGGAGUUAGUAAUGGUUAGUGGGAAGAGAAGUUGGGUGAUAGGAUCAAAGUAGAAAAUGAAUAGUAACAUUUGUGGCCAUCUAUUUGAAUGAAGUUUAUACUCAGCAAUCAACUAGGACAAUGUGGAGUGGAAUUUAGAAGUCCACACUGGACUUAAAAAAUCUCAGACUUCCCCUUUUAUUGCUUGAGUAACACAACUUGAUCUCACCAGGAUGCUACAGGGCCCACUGGCCAUCUGGGGUUUCCUUGAAGCAUGGCUCAUUUAACAAAAUGGAUUUUUCAGUGAAGAUCUGAUCAAAACUGGAAGCUAGUAAAGUAGUGACUAAACUUUAAGUCCUUUGCCCACUUUCUAGCCCUAGAUUGGAGUCAAUGUUUUCUAACCCAAUCAUUCCUCUGGUUAGGUUCUCUUGUACUAUAAUUUUAUGACUCUGGUCCUGAUGUAGAAAUGCCUUGGGGAUGAUAUCCUGUUGAAACAAAACCAAGUCAUUUAAAAAAAAAAAAAAAAAAAAGCAUGCACAGUUUCAAUGUUUCAAUCAUCAACUGAGGACCAAACUCCAAGUCACCACAGCAGAAGUGCCUCUACCUGCCCCCAAGUUGAGGCAGAUGCCUUCUGAUUCUCACCAGUUGGCAGUGAACACAGAUCUCAGGCCACCCUGUGUUUGGGCUCCGAAACAGGAGGAGGUGAGCAUCUUCUCCACUCCAAUUUGCCUUGAUGUUGUGCUUUCAAGGUCAGAACUAAUGUAUCAAUCCUGAUUACAUGAGAUGUGACAGGCAAAAAUCCUCGGGAAAGAUAAUGACUCCACGACACACCAUUGAGGGGUCGUUUUCAUAGAGCUCACAAAACCAGCCCCCCAAACGUAGCAACGUAAUACCAGGAACUUUUCACAAAGGUGUUGGGCAAAUGCAAAGGUGGGUGGUAGAGAUCAGAGUUAAACAAACACAGGGCUAGGACAGGGUGGGGGG